UACGUAGGGGACAAGCGUUAUCCGGAUUUACUGGGUGUAAAGGGAGCGUAGGCGGCUUGGCAAGUCAGAAGUGAAAUCCCGCGGCUCAACUGCGGGCGUGCUUUUGAAACUGUCGGGCUAGAGUACUGGAGGGGCAAGCGGAAUUCCUGGUGUAGCGGUGAAAUGCGUAGAUAUCAGGAAGAACACCGGAGGCGAAGGCGGCUUGCUGGACAGAUACUGACGCUGAGGCUCGAAGGCGUGGGGAG
rnacentral:rRNA from 1 species